UACGGCCACAUCACGUUGAAACAUUGGGUCCUGUAUGAUCACCGAAGUCAAGCAACGCCGAGCCUGGUCAGUACCAUGAUGGGUGAUCACUUAGGAAUGUCAUGUGCAGU